rnacentral:rRNA from 1 species
AUUGAACGCUGGCAGCAGGCCUAACACAUGCAAGUCGAACGGUAACAGGAAAGAGCUUGCUGUUUCGCUGACGAGUGGCGGACGGGUGAGUAAUGUCUGGGAAACUGCCUGAUGGAGGGGGAUAACUACUGGAAACGGUAGCUAAUACCGCAUAACGUCGCCAGACCAAAGAGGGGGACCUUCGGGCCUCUUGCCAUCGGAUGUGCCCAGAUGGGAUUAGCUAGUAGGUGGGGGAACGGCUCACCUAGGCGACGGUCCCUAGCUGGUCUGAGAGGAUGACCAGCCACACUGGAACGCAGACACGGUCCAGACUCCUACGGGAGGCAGCAGUGGGGAAUAUUGCACAAUGGGCGCAAGCCUGAUGCAGCCAUGCCGCGUGUAUGAAGAAGGCCGUCGGGUUGUAAAGUACUUUCAGCGGGGAGGAAGGGAGUAAAGUUAAUACCUUUGCUCAUUGACGUUACCCGCAGAAGAAGCACCGGCUAACUCCGUGCCAGCAGCCGCCUAA